rnacentral:rRNA from 1 species
AUUGAACGCUGGCGGCAGGCCUAACACAUGCAAGUCGAACGGUAACAGGAAGCAGCUUGCUGCUUCGCUGACGAGUGGCGGACGGGUGAGUAAUGUCUGGGAAGCUGCCUGAUGGAGGGGGAUAACUACUGGAAACGGUAGCUAAUACCGCAUAAUGUCGCAAGCCCAAAGAGGGGGACCUUCGGGCCUCUUGCCAUCGGAUGUGCCCAGAUGGGAUUAGCUUGUUGGUGGGGUAACGGCUCACCAAGGCGACGAUCCCUAGCUGGUCUGAGAGGAUGACCAGCCACACUGGAACGGAGACACGGUCCAGACUCCUACGGGAGGCAGCAGUGGGGAAUAUUGCACAAUGGGCGCAAGCCUGAUGCAGCCAUGCCGCGUGUAUGAAGAAGGCCUUCGGGUUGUAAAGUACUUUCAGCGGGGAGGAAGGGAGUAAAGUUAAUACCUUUGCUCAUUGACGUUACCCGCAGAAGAAGCACCGGCUAACUCCGUG